AACAAGACCUGCCAACAGAGCUCACUGGAGCAGGGAGACAUCCCGUCAUCCCUUCGGCACCUGACAAAGAUUCAGAUCCUGCUGAACGAUGUUAAGCAGUCGAUUAACCACAUGCAGGGGAAGCUGAACACCAUGCAGGGGCAGUGUAUUGAGUUGCAGACUGCCAUAUCUAAGAUCAUCCCAGCAGCCGACGUUGCUGUACAGAGUGGGG